rnacentral:miRNA from 1 species
GGCCACUAAGGAUUUGCAUGCGUGUACAGUUGUGUGCAUAUUCAUUUUCUAUAUGAAUAUGCAUAUACACACAUGCACACACACAGGAAUGGCCAGAGCUAUGUCUCAGGUAGGAG